rnacentral:tRNA from 1 species
GGAGGAGUGGCCGAGUGGUUGAAGGCGCUGCUCUCGAAAAGCAGUAUAUCGUCAUGCGGUAUCGCGAGUUCGAAUCUCGCCUCCUCCGCCA